GACGAACGCUGGCGGCGUGCCUAAUACAUGCAAGUAGAACGCUGAAGGAGGAGCUUGCUUCUCUGGAUGAGUUGCGAACGGGUGAGUAACGCGUAGGUAACCUGCCUGGUAGCGGGGGAUAACUAUUGGAAACGAUAGCUAAUACCGCAUAAGAGUAGAUGUUGCAUGACAUUUGCUUAAAAGGUGCAAUUGCAUCACUACCAGAUGGACCUGCGUUGUAUUAGCUAGUUGGUGAGGUAACGGCUCACCAAGGCAACGAUACAUAGCCGACCUGAGAGGGUGAUCGGCCACACUGGGACUGAGACACGGCCCAGACUCCUACGGGAGGCAGCAGUAGGGAAUCUUCGGCAAUGGACGGAAGUCUGACCGAGCAACGCCGCGUGAGUGAAGAAGGUUUUCGGAUCGUAAAGCUCUGUUGUAAGAGAAGAACGAGUGUGAGAGUGGAAAGUUCACACUGUGACGGUAGCUUACCAGAAAGGAACGGCUAACUACGUG
rnacentral:rRNA from 1 species